UCAGGAAAGUNUGGAGUAAAAGGCUAUGGCUCAACCAUAGUGUGCUNUGGAAGCUGUCUGACUUGAGUGCAAAAGGGGAGAGUGGAAUUCCAUGUGUAGCGGUGAAAUGCGUAGAUAUAUGGAGGANCACCAGUGGCGAAAGCGGCUCUCUGGUCUGUCACUGACGCUGAGGCUCGAAAGCGUGGGUAGCGAACAGGAUUAGAUACCCUGGUAGUNCACGCCGUAAACGAUGAGUGCUAGGUGUUAGCCCCUUUCCGGGGCUUAGUGCCGGAGCUAACGCAAUAAGCACUCCGCCUGGGGAGUACGACGCAAGGUUGAAACUCAAAGGAAUUGACGGGGGCCCGCACAAGCGGUGGAGCAUGUGGUUUAAUUCGAAGCAACGCGAAGAACCUUACCAGGUCUUGACAUCCCGAUGCUAUUCUUAGAGAUAGGAAGUUACUUCGGUACAUCGGAGACAGGUGGUGCAUGGUUGUCGUCAGCUCGUGUCGUGAGAUGUUAGGUUAAGUCCCGCAACGAGCGCAACCCUUAUUGUUAGUUGCCAUCAUUAAGUUGGGCACUCUAGCGAGACUGCCGGUAAUAAACCGGAGGAAGGUGGGGAUGACGUCAAAUCAUCAUGCCCCUUAUGACCUGGGCUACACACGUGCUACAAUGGUCGGUACAACGAGUUGCGAGCCGGUGACGGCAAGCUAAUCUCUGAAAGCCGAUCUCAGUUCGGAUUGGAGGCUGCAACUCGCCUCCAUGAAGUCGGAAUCGCUAGUAAUCGCGGAUCAGCACGCCGCGGUGAAUACGUUCCCGGGCCUUGUACACACCGCCCGUCACACCACGAGAGUUUGUAACACCCGAAGUCGGUGAGGUAACCUUUUAG
rnacentral:rRNA from 1 species